rnacentral:rRNA from 1 species
AGUGAACGCUGGCGGCAGGCCUAACACAUGCAAGUCGAGCGGCAGCGGGUCCUUCGGGAUGCCGGCGAGCGGCGGACGGGUGAGGAAUGCGUCGGAAUCUGCCUUUUUGUGGGGGAUAACGUAGGGAAACUUACGCUAAUACCGCAUACGACCUACGGGUGAAAGUGGGGGACCGCAAGGCCUCACGCAGAAAGAUGAGCCGACGUCGGAUUAGCUAGUUGGCGGGGUAAAGGCCCACCAAGGCGACGAUCCGUAGCUGGUCUGAGAGGAUGAUCAGCCACACUGGAACUGAGACACGGUCCAGACUCCUACGGGAGGCAGCAGUGGGGAAUAUUGGACAAUGGGCGCAAGCCUGAUCCAGCCAUGCCGCGUGUGUGAAGGAGGCCUUCGGGUUGUAAAGCACUUUUGUCCGGAAAGAAAUCCUGUCGGCUAAUACCCGGCGGGGAUGACGGUACCGGAAGAAUAAGCACCGGCUAACUUCGUG